AAAAAAAGAAAAGCAUCAAUCUUUCAUACUGAUGCUAAAAUAAUCAAAUAUAAUGAUUACUGCAGUUAAUUUAUAUUUUAUUUUACUAUAUGUAGAAUAAAUACUCACCAAAUUUAAUGAAUGCUUUUAAUGCAAUUGGCAGUCUGAUCUUUUAUAGUGCAACAAUGAGGGUAUAAUAAUAAUAUCUGGUUAAUUAUCAGGAUGCUGCUCAUAAAUCAUAAGAUGUAGACUGAAAACCACGUUGCUUUAAUUUGGGCGAUAGGGAUUGCUUCUUAAAUUUCCACACUGUGACUGUCCGUGUUGUUUGCAACUGGAAAUAAUUCCCAAAUGGCCUAAACUGUCUUUGUAAACAUGUAUAAGCCUUGUUCCAGCCAGCUGAUCAGCAGUGUGCAGAAACAGGUGGGGGAGGAGCAGUUCAGGUGUAGUCUAUGUUCUCUACAGCCGAAGAAAGACCCAGCUCUUUCAAUGGCCUCUCAUUGAAAGGACGUUAAACUGUGAGAAAGAUAUGGAGGAAAUGUUUGGUGGUUUUAAAAUCAUAAUUAUUUAAAACUCCCAGUAACCGGCCCCUGCCCCAACCAAACUCUAAAGUAAAAAUAUCACUAUUUGUGACUUAAUUCCCAGGGGACAGGGACACUUAUUAUCAGUAAUAUGAAUGUUUUUCCUAGCAACAGAGGUUUUCUGUUAGAGUGAAGAUUUCACUGAAUGACUUUGUGGCUGUAGGUUAAAAAUAGUUUAGGCAGUUAUAGAUAGACUAUUUGGUGACACUGGCUCAGGUGGCAGGGGUUCAUCUUGUACCUGGUGGGGGCCGGUUCAAACCCCCGCUCCGUGCAUCUUAGUCUUUGUGUCCUUGGGCGAGACACUUCGCCUGCCUUGCCUGCUGAUGGUGGUCAGAGGGUGUCAAUCUACCCCAAGGCAGCUGUAGCUACACUGUAGCUUACCACUGACAGUGUGUGAAUGUGUGUAUGAAUGGGUGCAUGACUGAUUGUAGUGUGAAGCCCUUUGGAACCUUGGACUUAAUUUCUUUUUGUCUGUGACUAGUGAACAGUUUGUAUCUGUAAAUCUGUGUAAACUUGUGAUACUGUUUCAAAGAAUGCGUGUACCAAACUAAAACUAAUCACUACAACUAACAUUAAACAGUCCUGCCAUCAUUUUUUACUUUUGUGACUUGAUGUUUUACUUCAUCUGUUCCCAGUAUGUCUUAGGGAUCUGCGAUGCUAAUAAAUGAAAGAAGCACGAAUCUCAGAGGCAGUUUCUGUGACUGAUCUCUCUCACUGCUGUCAGUCUGAAGAUGGAAAGAACAGACUCUGUCAGCUCAGACUUUUUUAAAAAAAAGCCAUCUUUCUGUUUCUGUUGUGUGUGUGUUAGUAUGAGAGGUUAGUGGGUGGUACUUAGAGCAGCAACAGGAGAUGAAUAUCAGUCUUCAGUAAUGAACUGAAGUGGAAAGAUGAAGCUCCUGCUGAGAAGUCUGCUUCUUAGCUCUCUCUGCGCACUCUCAUCCUGGAGCGUUUCUUCAGACACACUUGUCGUUACUCAGAGUCCUGAUGUUUCUUUCCAUGAAGGAGAGACAGGAAACAUCUCUUGUUGCUGGAAGGGGAAGAAUGGAAGAGUUCACAUUAAAUGGCUAAAAAACCAAACAUUAGUAGAGAAUAAGACUGUCAUAAAUCAGUCUACAAGUUCUCAGAAUAAGCAGGCAAAUAGCUGUACAGUUCUAAUCUUUCCAAACUUUGCAAUCAGAGAUUCAGGGAGAUACAUCUGCAAGGUUACUGUGGAGAUACCAAUGUUAACUGAAGUUGAAGGAAAUGGUACAACCAUCACAGUUACAGCCAGAGGAAACACAACUAACUGCUUAUCAGAAAGUAGGUGACUAUAGAGCUACUACACAUAUUGCAGCCUACCUAUGUUGUAUCAAUAAUCUAUUCAUCACUUCACAGAAAAUAAAUUAUCAGAAGUUUGUUUUGUUAAACAGAACAAAUAUAUACUUAUUGUUGUUCUCACCUUAAUAAAAUCAUUCAGAUACAAAGGAUGAACAUAAGCUGCAAUCUGUGAUUCUUGCUGUGGCUGUUGUCGUCCCACUCUUCCUCAUUGCUCUCGCCUGUUUCUGCACUCUGAAAAGGAAAGAAGGUAAGAAGAAAACAGGUGGAGAACCGACACAGAACUCAUGGGGAGAACAUGCAAACUCCAUGCAGAAAGACCCCAAGCUGGAAUUUGACCCCAAGACCUUCUUGCUGCUGUCCAUGGUGUACCCUGCCUCUCGCCCGUAGACCUGGUUUCCUGGUUUUAAAAGGGAUAUGGUGUUGAUGUCAACACCAUCUUUGUUUUUGAAGCGACAGCUCCAAUAUUUUGAAAUGAGAUUUUGUUCAGAGGUUACGAGCAGACAGCGUCUAACCCUGCUGGAGAUAACUCCCCUGCUUUAAUAAAACCAUCGGUGUUCUUGAUCUCGAACAUGAACUAAACCAGGUUUCUGCGAAACAACUUCCAAUUUACUGUUAUGUUUGUUUUUACAGUUGUUGACUGAUUUGUUUAUAAACUCAUCAUGUGCUUGAAUGUCAUAUUUUCAUUUUUGACUCAUUUAAACUUUAUUAUUUACAACAAACAACCACCAAU